rnacentral:rRNA from 1 species
UACGUAGGUGGCAAGCGUUGUCCGGAAUUACUGGGUGUAAAGGGAGCGUAGGCGGGGAUGCAAGUUGAAUGUUUAAUCUAUGGGCUCAACCCAUAUCAGCGUUCAAAACUGUGUCUCUUGAGUGAAGUAGAGGCAGGCGGUAUUCCUAGUGUAGCGGUGAAAUGCGUAGAUAUUAGGAGGAACACCAGUGGCGAAGGCGGCCUGCUGGGCUUUUACUGACGCUGAGGCUCGAAAGUGCGGGGAGCAAACAGG